rnacentral:rRNA from 1 species
UACGGAGGGGGCUAGCGUUGUUCGGAAUUACUGGGCGUAAAGCGCACGUAGGCGGCUUUGUAAGUUAGAGGUGAAAGCCUGGAGCUUAACUCCAGAACUGCCUUUAAGACUGCAUCGCUUGAAUCCAGGAGAGGUGAGUGGAAUUCCGAGUGUAGAGGUGAAAUUCGUAGAUAUUCGGAAGAACACCAGUGGCGAAGGCGGCUCACUGGACUGGUAUUGACGCUGAGGUGCGAAAGCGUGGGGAGCAAACAGG